rnacentral:rRNA from 1 species
GAUGAACGCUGACAGAAUGCUUAACACAUGCAAGUCUUUGGCGAAGCUGUGCUUGCACAGCCUAGCCAAGGCGGACGGGUGAGUAACGCGUAAGGAACUUGCCCUGCAGUCAGGGAUAACAGACGGAAACGACUGAUAAGACCUGGUAAAGUCAGGCGGACUCAUGUCCAGCCUGAUGAAAAGAGAUGCUGCAGGAGAGCCUUGCGCCCUAUUAGCUUGUUGGUGGGGUAACGGCCCACCAAGGCGAUGAUAGGUAGCCGGCCUGAGAGGGUGGACGGCCACAAGGGGACUGAGAUACGGCCCUUACUCCUACGGGAGGCAGCAGUGGGGAAUAUUGGACAAUGGGGGCAACCCUGAUCCAGCAAUUCUGUGUGCACGAUGAAGGUUUUCGGAUUGUAAAGUGCUUUCAGCAGGGAAGAAAAAAAUGACGGUACCUGCAGAAGAAGCGACGGCUAAAUACGU